rnacentral:rRNA from 1 species
AGAGCUUGCUCUCUGGGUGGCGAGUGGCGGACGGGUGAGGAAUGCAUCGGAAUCUACUUUAUCGUGGGGGAUAACGUAUGGAAACUUACGCUAAUACCGCAUACGACCUACGGAUGAAAGCAGGGGAUCUUCGGACCUUGCGCGAUUGAAUGAGCCGAUGUCGGAUUAGCUAGUUGGCGGGGUAAAGGCCCACCAAGGCGACGAUCCGUAGCUGGUCUGAGAGGAUGAUCAGCCACACUGGAACUGAGACACGGUCCAGACUCCUACGGGAGGCAGCAGUGGGGAAUAUUGGACAAUGGGCGCAAGCCUGAUCCAGCCAUACCGCGUGGGUGAAGAAGGCCUUCGGGUUGUAAAGCCCUUUUGUUGGGAAAGAAAUCCAGCUGGCUAAUACCCGGUUGGGAUGACGGUACCCAAAGAAUAAGCACCGGCUAACUUCGUGCCAGCAGCCGCGGUAAUACGAAGGGUGCAAGCGUUACUCGGAAUUACUGGGCGUAAAGCGUGCGUAGGUGGUCGUUUAAGUCCGUUGUGAAAGCCCUGGGCUCAACCUGGGAACUGCAGUGGAUACUGGGCGACUAGAGUGUGGUAGAGGGUAGCGGAAUUCCUGGUGUAGCAGUGAAAUGCGUAGAGAUCAGGAGGAACAUCCAUGGCGAAGGCAGCUACCUGGACCAACACUGACACUGAGGCACGAAAGCGUGGGGAGCAAACAGGAUUAGAUACUCUGGUAGUCCACGCCCUAAACGAUGCGAACUGGAUGUUGGGUGCAAUUUGGCACGCAGUAUCGAAGCUAACGCGUUAAGUUCGCCGCCGGGGGAGUACGGUCGCAAGACUGAAACUCAAAGGAAUUGACGGGGGCCCGC